rnacentral:lncRNA from 1 species
UAUCCCCUCGAGUCAGUCCACACAUCCAGCGCAACAUCCGCAUUUCUGCCACCUUCAUUUUUUGGAUGUGGGAGUUCUUAACUGGCCAGCACUCCGCUCCAUACAACAAGGCCGGACGGACUACCACCCUAUAGAAUUUGCCUUUAAGCUUGGGCGGCACCUUCUUAUCACACAGCACCCCCGACGCGAGUUUCCACUUCAUCCAUCCCGCCCCAAUA